UUGUACGUGUAAGGUGAAAAAGAGAGUAAAUUUCAAAGAGAACUUUGAUUUGAUAACUCUAAGAAUAUCUCCCUUGCUUUCUCAUGCAACCAAUAAAGGGGGAGAUUUAUUGAUUAAAGCUCUCUCUCUAUCUAUCUAGAUCUAUUGGUUUAUAUUCUUUGCAACUCCAUACAAGCAAAGUUUCUUAUUUAAGCUAAAAAGAAGAAACAAACAUUUUUUAUUUUCACAAUUAUAUAUGUGUGGUUGUGCAUUAGUCAUAUUUUCACACCAACCCCAUCACUAAUUAAUGAGUACUUGUUAAAG
rnacentral:lncRNA from 1 species